rnacentral:lncRNA from 1 species
AAAAUUUGCUUCGCCAUAAAUUAAAAGUUUCAAUUGAAAGUCUAAUAACUCACCUCUGAGUUGAAUAAGAAUCUCAGAGAUAAGAUCAGAAAGAUGAAAUCUUGGUUGUUUCUAACAACAAAAAGAAAUUUGGUACAAUUCUGAAGCUAUCUGAAAACCCACUUAAGAAUCAGAACCACAAUGUUGUGAUCCGAACUAAGAACCUCCUAGGUCCCGAUUGCUCCAAUUACUAUAAUUUCUAUGUAGAAUCCACCACCUCAAAGAAAUGACACUCUUGUUUUCACUAUAUGGCUAAGAGAUGUAAGAGCAUGCAUAAACAUGUUGUUGACUCUAGUGCACCAGUUAACAUGACUGACGAGAAAUUCAUUGCUAUGAUCAAUAAAAUCAACAUGGUUGGCGGAUAGACAUUGGCGCCUCUCGUCAUGUCUGCUAUGAUCGUGCUAUGUUUAAAACAUACACAAAUGUUGAAGAUAAGAGAGUUUUGUUAGAAGACACUCACACCACUAAUGUUGCUAGAAUUGGAGAUGAUGAGCUGAACUUCACCUCCAGAAAGAAUUUAAUCUUCAAAGACUUCAUGCAUGUUCCUGAAAUUAGGAAGAAUUUUGUUUAUCGUUUUCUUUUAAAUAAGCCAGUGUUUAGUCAAUCUAUUGGAGCAAAUUUGUACACCAUCACUAAGAAUUACAUUUUUGUUGGGAAAAUGCAUGUUAUUGAUGGCAUGUUUAAGUUGAAUGUUGAUUUGAAUAAAAUUUCCCCUCCUAUUUACUCUUUGUGUUCUUUCAAUGUUUAGCAUGCUAGAUUUUGUCAUUAUAAUAAGAGUAAUGUCUCUAAUUUAAUCAACUUAGGCUUAAUCCUAAAAUUGAAUGUCAAUGAUUUAGAACAAAAUGAAAAUUGUAGUCAAGUUAAAAUAACUAAGAUUUCACAUAAAUCGAUAAUUAAAGAAUUUGAUCCCCUAGAUCUUAUACAGUCUGAUAUAUGUGAAUUAGAUGGAACUUUAACUAGAAAUAGUAAACGUUAUUUCAUCACUUUUAUCGACGAUUGUUCUGCUUAUACUUAUGUAUACCUAAUGAAGUAAAAGUGAAGCGCUUGAUGUGUUUAAAAUUUAUGUGAAUGAAAUUGAAAUUUAAUUUAGUAAGAAGAUUAAGAGGUUUCGUAAUGAUAUGAGAACUAUGUAUGAUUAUGGUUUAUUUAAUGAAUUUUAUAAAUAACACGGAGUUGUACAAGAAACGACUACACCACACUCUACUGAAAUGAAUAGUAAAGUAGAAAGAAAGAAUAGAAUUCUUACUAAACUUGUUGUUACAAUUAUGUUGAAUUCUGGUUUUACUCCUCACUGUAGGGGGGAAAUUUUAUUGACUAUUUUCUAUAUCCUUAAUAGAGUUCCCAAGUCUAAAAAUAAGAUUUAUCCUUAUGAGAUAUUGAAGAAAAGAAAAACAAACUUGUCUAAAAAAACAUUUUCCUAAAUUCUUCCCAUAGCCUUCACUAAAGCUCUUGCAAGAAAGAAGCACCUUACGUUUAUCAUCUAAACUUUAGCAAGCUUGAGUUAACCCUUACACCACUCACCACAUUGCUAAAGUAAGCAAGGAAAAGAAGAUAUAGAGUAGUAGAGAAUAAAAACCAGUAAAUAGAAGUAGAGAAGAGAUUCUUGAUGUAUUGAACUCACCGGAGUUCUCGCCAGAGUUUCAGACUCUGACGGGGCCUUUUUCUUCCUUUUCCCUUUGCUUUGCUAUCCUUUCUGUUACUUGUCGUUUUACCACUGUUACACAUUUAAUGGUUGUAAGUUGUUGUAAUUUGGCUAAAUAAUGUUGAAUUUGGGGUUUACGGUUCAAGUGGGGGUGAGCCUGAUCCGGGCUUAGGUUUGAUUAUUUGGGAUUUUGGUUGUUGGAUUCAUAACGAGGGAGAGAAACUAUGUAGAGUGUGCGUUAAUCAAUUUUGGUUUUGGAGUGAAUUUGAGAAAUUUGGGAAAUUGCUCAUGAACACCUUCAUGGUGUUCAUGGUGUUGUUCAUAUAAAACACCAUGUUUGAUCUUUUAGAAAGGGGGAGAGAGUUUAAAUUAAUGUUUAUACGGUGUUGGUUAGAGAAAAGGAGAGAGAUAAUGUCAGAGAGAGAGAGAGAGAGGAUGUGGAAAAUGAUCCCCACAUGAGAGUGAUCACAAUCUUAGCUUCCACCAUUUGUUUCCACUUACAACAUAUGGCUUAACUCCUGGACAAUUGAUUGGCUUACUGUCAGGAUAUGGGACCCCGACUCCUACUACCACAUGCCUUUGAUGUUGGCCCUCUGAUCAUAGAAUGUGCUUAUCCAAGGGAUGGGAUUGAGUCAAGCUCGUUGACUCCCCCAGCUUGUAGAUUGGGCCAGCGUUGAGCCUUGUGGCUAUUCGCCCCCUCAUUUCUUGAUAUACUGUAUUUUUAUUAUUAUUUUUGUUUAAUUGUGUUAGGCCUUUGGCCCAUGCUGCAUUUGGUUUAUUUCUUGCCAUCUUCCCCGUGCUACUUUCAGCACCCCCAAUUCCCGUUCAUUUUAUGCCUCUUAGUUUAUUUCAUUUAUUUUAUUUAUUAUUUUUGCUAUUAAAAAAUCAUUUUAAUAAAACAAAAUCAAUCAUUUUUUAAAUAAAAAUCUUGAUCAACAUCGAGUAUUUUCAAAAAAUCAAAUUCAAAUCCCUUUUAUAAAAUUCCAACGCUUUUUCAAAUACGAACCAAUAUGAUUAAUGUCAUCAAACUUCUUUUUAACCUAAACGCUUCACUAAAAUCUUUUUCUUAAUAAAAUCAGAAGCAAAGGAACAUUGCAGUAUAUACUUCAUGAAACCUUGAAUAGUCGGCCCUGAGACUAACAUCUCGGUCUUACCAAACAUUCUUCUUCUAUCCUGAAACACCUACUCAAACUUGGAUGAAAAAGGACACUCUACUUUACAUUCAUUGAAACCACAAACAAUCAGCCUCGGGGCACACGUCUUGGUCUUACCGAACGUUCGUCUUCCGCAAAUAUAUUUCAUGAACACUUUGGAUGAGAAAGGUACAUGGGGUACACACUCCUUGAAACCCAGAAUAAUCAGCCCUUUGGCAUACGUCUUGGUGUUGCCGAAUGUUCGUCAUCCUCUUAAAAACAAUUCAACACAUCAAACCUAUAUUUUCUUUCCCCACGCGAUCGAAAAACCUUUUUUUAAACGAACAAUGUUUAGUCUGUUUUACUAUUAUACAAACAAAUGCUUAAGCCUCAAAUUGCGAACAUACAAGCAACAUUUAACCACUAGAAUGCAACUAAGGAUUCGUUUAUUAAAAUCAACCAACCCAUACUCAUAUCCUUCCAAGAACUACGUAGCUUUAAGUUCCUCAUUGCACUUGGGGAUACGUAGGAGCUAACAAAAAAAAUCAAAAAUAUUUUUUAUCAUGCCCAAAACUACAUUAUUUUUAAUUCAUCAUCACACCUAAUGAUACGUAUAAGCAAGACCUGCAAUAUUGUAAAGCACCCUAAUAUAAAAUUCUUUUGGGACCUUUUCCUUUUCUUUAUAAACUUUCAAUAACAAGAAGAAAACAAAUAUCGUAAGAUAACCUUCUACUCACAAAUCUAACUAAAUGGUUCCUAUUAAGUACAAUGGAUAUGAGAGAUGUUAAUACAUUCAUCUCGCAUAACCUUUUAUUAUCUUUUUAUUAAAGAUUUUAUCUAUAUUUUUCCUUUCAUUUUGGAAUAAAUAAAGUUCGGUUGUGACUCAAUUAUCAACAAUGGAUAUGAGAGAUGUUAAUACAUUCAUCUCGGAUAACCUUUUAUUAUCUUUUUAUUAAAGGGUUUAUCUAUAUUUUUCCUUUCAUUUUGGAAUGAAUAAAAUUCGAUUGCGACUCAGUUAUCAUCUCAAGCAUGCAAGCACUCUAGGUAUUUGUCAAACUGCGGCAGCUGACUACUCUACUGGGGGUAUUUAAUGAGAGAACAUGCAAGGGAGAAACUCACUCAGAGAAAUACCACUGACUCAGCCGAGGAUUGACCUGGACUCUCACAAUUGGUCUCAUAACUUGGCUUAUGCUAUGUGUGACAAGCAUACCAUUAACCCAAACACAAUGUUGAUUUACCUAUAAAAAAUGCAAAGCAUAUCUCUACGAGUCAAUUUAAUACAACCUUAUUGUUAUAUGAUUUCAAAUAUAAUGUUCAAAAUUCAAUUUUAGUUUACCUUUUCUUCUUGAUAAUCACUGAGAUGUCCUAAUUUUUUUUUCCAUAAGUCACACUUUCAGCUAUUCAACUUAACGACAUUUUUUUAUUUUUGAUGUAUUUUUGAAAAUGGUACGGCUUAUUAAUCGUUUUGUCAAAGCUAUUUUUUUUCUCUUAUCGACACUACAAUUACAGAUUCCAAAAUCUAACCAACCUUUCCUUUAAUGAGGUUCACGUCCAUCUAAUGUUGGAUUCAUUGGUUUUCAAGCAUUCAAAAGCGUAUGAGCGCUAAAUUAAUGAAGUUGUUAACUAUAAAUGAAUUCAUAGACUUCCCAAAAAUAAAUAGACCAACAUUUGCAUACAUAUAUUAUUCAACAAAAAACUUAUUCGAGCAUAAACCAAAAAUCGCUUACAUGUAUUAUUGAACAAAAUCUUAUUUGAGCUCUUGUCCACAACUAGCAAGUUUAAUUUCCCAACACCGAAAUCAAACCAGUGAUAGCUACGAAACAGCAAAAUUUGACUGUUACUACCUCACGGUUACAAAAUCAAAAAUAUCCUAAAAAGCUACGUAGAGUAUUAUAAGUUAAUUUUAUUCGUUCAUAUCUCUAUAAGGCUAAAGUUACAUAUCAAAAGUUUUGGCAAAUCGUUUAAUCCCAAAACAAUGCAACACCAUUUUCUAAUUAACAUAUGAAACUACGAACUUUUCUAGAUACCAUUUGCUAAACAAGAAACAUUUUGCUAAAAUUUUUCUUAAAAGUAUAUCAGUAUAGACAGAAGGUGGCUCAAAAGUGCUUGAAAGAUAAUCAUGGAGAACUCAAGUAAAUGAUAUUAUCACUCUCAUCAUAGCCACCGAAGUGUCUCACUUAAUUUCAAAGACGAAAUUAUGAAAAGUAGAAGAAUUGAAACAAAAUAAAAAAUAUAGUCAAUGGCAUUCAGAAUGAGUAGGAGGAUAUUUUAAUCCUGUGUUUAAUCAUAUGGAAAGGUUCACUGAUAUCAUCAUCAUGCCAUGCCUAAAACAUUUUAAAUAAUCUUUUAGAAAUUUAAAUAAUUGAAAAUUCAAACGGAAUAAAAUGAAUGAAAUUCUCUCAGACAAAUGCCUCGAUAUGUCGUCAGGAUUUUGAAUGGAUCGGACUCGUCAUCAAUUGUUCAUCAUCACAGAGAAUAUCACAACUACUAACAUUGGAGCUGAAUAAUAAACCAAACACUUCCAACAAAACAUGAUAUGCUACAUAAAAUUAAACGAAAGUAAAGAAAAUUCAAACCUAAGGUUAUGGAGAGAAACGCAGUCGCUACUGUGACUAUUGUAGAUCUGAAGAUAUGUUCGGUUUUAUAGAGAACAAGUUCCGUUAUCAGUCUUUUAGGGUUUGUGGGAACACUUGUGGGGUUUUAAUGGGCCUUAACCCGCAAAUAAUGGGCCAUACUUUGCGAAUAAAAAGAGCCGGAGAAAAUGUUUCGGGAAGUUGCUACUCCAAUCUCACUAUUUUAUUUAAACACCCGCUGGCCCUCUUAUGUAAUAAGUGUCUUUAACCUAUUAAUAACCUUUGUAAUGAAUUUCUUGGGUCAAUUUUUAUGGUUCACUCAUCGCAUAUAUAUCAUUGACCAUUAAGAUAAUUUAUUAAUUAAUAUCUUUUAUAGAAUAAAUUAAUAAUUAGUUGUUUUAAUUAAUAUUUUUAGAAAUUAAUUAUUUAAAAUUUUAAAAAGAAUUACUAGGCCUAGACCCAAUUCAUAAUUGCACUUAUUUCAAGUUUGUGCCAAAUAAGAUCUUGGAUAAUGCAUUGUUGACUUUUAUAAACACUAAAAUUAUUUAUGAAAAAAAUAAUGUGGGAAUCCAAUGCAAUUACAAGUUUAUAAGAUUUCACCUUCUUCCUUUGCUUCAUCUUCCAAUUAACUCUUACUAAACACAAUAAUAUUUUAGGGACAUGAUGCUCGGUGAAAGCAAACUUGUCAACAAUGUUUUUGGGACAUGAUGUUUGGUGACAUCUAUUGAUACAUCUGAGUUCUGUUUGUUUCGGUGUCAAAGAAUGUGAUAUCUUAUUUCAAUAUCGUUUUCAAGUACAAACUAUGAAUCCUCACAACUUGUCUUUCUCCUGUCACCAUCCAACAUGAUACCUCUAUAACAUGAAACAAAAAAAAAACUUAUCAUCAAAAUCAAUUCAAGAACUACUCUCAAACAAAAUUAAAUAAGCAACAAAGUGUGGUCGGUCUUAGGUAGAAACAAUGUCAUUCCAACCCUAGCAGCUAAGUAAAAAAAUAAGAAUGUUACAUGAAAUGUGAAGUGUGUUAAAGUAUAUUAUGCCAUAAUCCAUUUUGGUAACAAAUAUAUGAAAUUUUUUGUUCUAAACCCUGGAGAUUUUUCAAACCGAAGUUCAUUGAUUAUAAAGUAUGCAAUUUCGAUUUGUAUUAAAUAAAUAUAUAAUUAUUCAAAAAUAAAUCAUAUAGAGUAUGCAAAGAUCAUGCAAUAAGUUUCCUAUGGCUGCAUCAGACAUCAUAAAUUGCUUAAGAUGUUCACUGUUGAAAUUCACCCAAAUAAUGUCUUGUUGUUAAAAAGCACAGAGACCUCUGGUUUUUGGCGUGUCCCAUGUCAGCAUUAGAACUCUUUUUCAACCAAAUUGACCUUCUGAAAGAAAAUGUUGAUUAAACCAUGAUAGUAACAUUCGCACUUAUAGUAGAAAAGAUGAGAAACAAAGUUGGUUUAUUUUCCGUCAAUUUAAACAACAACCUUGUUUUAUUCAUGGGAUUUGUGGGCCAAAUAUUACUUGUAGUAAUGGUCCAAUAAAUGGUAGAAAGUGUUAUUGUUUACCUGGUUAUGUUUGGAUUAAUGAUCAAGAUUAUUAUCAAGAUUAUUAUCAAGAUUAUUAUAAAGUGUUCUUGUUUACCUGGUCUUGUUCAAUGUUAAGAAAAAAGUGAGGUAUUUGGUAAUGAUUAUGAAAUGCUUACUUUUUAUUGAGGAUUUGAAUAUGGUUUGACCCGUCGAACAUUUCAUAUAUGUUUUGCUUGUAUAUUUUUGCGAGUUUUUGCGGACAUGAGUUUUUAUAUGAAAUUUUAUAAUUUUUAUACCUAAAAGAUUCAAUGCUCACGGGCACACCUUGUCCCGCCCUCACUUUUAUGUGGAGUAUGUCAAAAUUUAAGUCUGCACACUCAAAUUUGUUUGUCUGGUCUCGUCCUAUUUUUUUGAUGAUUUUUGCAGGAGGGUCAAAACAGAACGGACAUGUUCAUUUGCCCCCCUUAAAUUUGGAUGAAAGUUCACCAUCUCUAAUGGUGGUUUAAUUUACUAGUUAAAAUUAUAUCAAUUAUAUUUGCUAAUAUAUAUAUAUAUAUAUAUAUAUAUAUAUAUAUAUAUAAUAUAUAUAUAUAUAUAUAUUAUAUAUAUAUAUAUAUAUAUAUAUAUAUAUAUAUAUAUAUAUAUAUAUAUAUUCUACUUUAUUUUUUUUACUCUAUUGAAACUAAUUGCUAUAAUUGUUAACUAAUUAUGACAAAAUUUGUUUCCACUUCUAAAAUAAUUGAUAAGAAUAUUUUAGUUCGCUUUUAUUUCUAAUAAUGACUCUAGUUGAUAUUCUUCUAACACUUUCCCAUAAGAUCAAAGUGGUUUUCAACAAAGAAUCUUGAGCUUAGUUUUGAGAUAUUAGAAUAAAGACUCUAGUUGUGCCAAGCAAUUUGGUUAAUGUGUGGGCUAUUUGGGACCUGAAAAGUAUAUGUUGAAUAAGUAGUUUAUUAAGACCGUCAUUUUCUCAUACAAAACAAGUAUUAAGCUCGAUAUGCUUUAUGCAAACAUGAAGAACAAGGUUGUAGGACAACAUGAUAUCACUUAAAUUGUCACACAAUAGUAUAUGUGGAUAAAAUGGAAUUCCAAAUUCAUAUAAAAGGGAUUCUAAUGGAUUCUAACUGGAGUAACUCAGGGGUUGUAUGAGCUAGAGUAUGAUAUUCAUCAUAUGUUCUUGAGAUUGCAACUAGUUGUUAUUUCUUAGAACUGGAAGCUAUCAGAUUUGGUCCAAAAAAGAUGCGGGAACUCGAAGUUGACUUAAGAUCAUCCGGGUCACUUGUUCAAUUAGAGUCACUAUAAGCUCUUAGUGAAUAUCUGUAAGAUAUGUUGGAGGGAGACAAUAAGAGACCAUGAGAGAUAGUUCCACUUAAGCAUUCCAUUAUUCUCCUCGGUGCAAACCAAUGAGGAUCAAGUUAGGAAGACACAAAUUGACAAACUUUGUUGACACUAUAUACAAUACAUUAUCUUAUCAAUGUGACAUAUUGAAGUGCGCCAACUAUUUACAUAUAUAAUUGAGGACUAGAGAGUCACUAAGAGUCAUAUUUGUUGAGUUUGCAAGUUCUUAAAUAUGUGUUGGAACCUCAUUAGCAUCAUUCAUUACUACUUUAGUCAGCAGAUCUUUUACAUAUUUUGAUUGAGCGAGCAAGAUUGAACCAUUGGCCUGGGUUCUGACUUCUAUUCCCCAAAAAAUAUUCAAGCUUGCCAUGAUGCUUGCGAGUAGAGGUUUUAUGCAACUUGCUGAUAAAACUAUGGACUAAGUUGGGAAAAAAAUCAAAUUAUGAGUAUGUCAUCAGCAUAAACCAACGCAGAGAGAGAGAGAGAGAGAGAGAGAGAGAGAGAGAGAGAGAGAGAGAGAGAGAGANGAGAGAGAGAGAGAGAGAGAGAGAGAGAGAGACUAGAUUUACAAUACACAAAUAAAGAAUGGUCACACUUUAAGUGAGAAAACCGAAUUUGUUGUAAAGCUUGAGUUAACUUAUCAUAUUAUGUCUUAUUGAGCUUGCUUGUGUUGAACUAUAUAUUUGCAUAUUCAAUCAAGAAAUGAUCAAAGCUAAGUAAGUCGUGCCUACCAUGGUUUUGAAGAUUACAAAUCAUCUUUGAUGACAACUUGUGAAAAUGCAACUUGACUCUAAGAUAAGUAAGUAUUUCAAGCGGUCAAAGAUGCAAAAGAUAGUUUGUUCAAGCUCUUCCUCUGAAUAAAGCCGGAGAGUUGGGGUUUAAUGAUCACAUUUAAUAUCAUCUGAUAAUGACAUCUAACUUGAAGAUAUAUCAAGCCUCAUAUCCAAUAAUACUCAGGCAAGUUCUUAUAUGAUUGAUGUAUUCAGCAAAGUCUUGAAGCUUCUGAGUGUGAAAGAGAGGAAGUGUGAAAGUUUGACUAAUUGUAUAUGAGUGAUUAGUGUUUUGUAAAAACACAUGGGUGUGUUUGUAAAGUAUUAUGGCUAAAUCACACACUCACUAAUAUAAUUUUUAAACCCUAUAUCUUUCAAAUAAAAUAACCCAAAAAUAUUUUGGAGCCUAGACAAAUGAAUUGAAAGUUGUCAUAAUGAUUAGGACAUGUAUUUUGAAUUGUCCAAUCGAUUGGAUAAGGGAAAAUUGUGUCCAUAAUCGAUUAUGGCAAUGUAUUAAUGAAGGGUAAAUACUCUCUAUCAAAUCUUUCCAAAAUGAGCAAUUCUAAUUGAUUAUUUAGGUUAUUCAAUAAAUUAGGAUAAGAAUCCAAUUGAUUGGGCCAUUAACUUUGUCAUUGGAUUGUUUCCUUUUUUGUGUCAACCUUUAACCUAUAAAUAAAUACAUCUCCCUUCAUUUUUUUACAUCCAGAAACACAAUAUAUCUCACCACCCUUACUCUCUA